AGAGACAAGACACUGGACUCUGAAGCUUCAAGGAACUGCACAGUUCUCUGAAAUGCAUCAGUGUAAGAAUAACCUGGAGGUGAAGACUAGAGGUGGGCCAGUUAGGAGACUACUGCAGUAAUCUUCAUGUGAAAUGAUGGGGACCCGAGGUCUUCAGCAUAAAGACAAGUACCUUGAAGGAGCUCAAGAAAUAUCUGUGUGAGAACAGGCUGGUUAUUCUUAUAGAUGUAUAUUUAGAUGCUUCUAAAGACUUGAAGCUUCGUGAGAACAAAGGCCAUUCUCUGUAUAUUUGGGUAACUUGCAUAGGAACAGGUAAGUAAGCAACUGUAAUACUGUUAUUAGCACAAGAAAGGCAGUAAGCUGCGGGUGAUAGGAACGCCCAGCUAGCGGAGGGUCACUGAAGACAUUUUAGAAGUUACUUGAACUUGAAUUAAGUUUUCCAGUUGUCAGAGCUGGCCAACCAAAAGGAUGGAAGGGGCAAGCAGUGAAGCUGCAAAGGUAAG